rnacentral:lncRNA from 1 species
CAACUUUUGUCCCACAGACCUGGAGGCCACUUGAGUCUCCGCCGCCGGCUCCCCUCUCUCACCCUCCCCCACUGCUUUCCAUCUCCCCUCUCCUCACUACCUCCCUCGACUGGGGGGCGGAAGGGGGGGGCCUCUCUUCUCCCUAGGGCCUUCGCAGGCACCUUCUGGCCCAGCCAUCCCUAAGCUCCAAUUGAGGGCUUCUGAGGACCGAGGUCAGAGUCUGCGGCCCUGGACCUUCUUUCCGCAAAUGCUCCUCCCUUGGAAUCGCCUGCACCCACCGGGAGGACAGCGGAAGAGAGAAGCCAGGAUCCAUAAGGCAGUGUGUGUGGCAACAAAGAGAAGCUACCACAAAUGCACGCAGAUACAUACAUAUGCUGGGACUUGCUCUACCGGGUUGCUGCGUUCCCCUGCCUCUGCCUCACUGGGUAGAAUUCUGCUGGCCCCAGAGUAGCUACAGGAUUCCACAGCUCCAUUCUGAUCUUGCCUCUACCCUGCUCACAAGAAGUCUCCAGUCCCCAACUGGAUUAGGGGAGUAUUUCUGUCUGGCUCACCCCAAAGCCUUUUUUAUGUUCCUAGAGAUACCUGCAUCUGUGUUUCAAAUGUCUCCAAGUUCCUGUUUGUGAUGUUGCUAUCUCUGCCUAAAAAAAUAAAAUAAAAAGCUUUGUGCACUGGAGGCAAACUCCAA